rnacentral:rRNA from 1 species
AGCGAACGCUGGCGGCAGGCCUAACACAUGCAAGUCGAACGAACCUUUCGGGGUUAGUGGCGGACGGGUGAGUAACACGUGGGAACGUGCCUUUAGGUUCGGAAUAACUCAGGGAAACUUGUGCUAAUACCGAAUGUGCCCUUCGGGGGAAAGAUUUAUCGCCUUUAGAGCGGCCCGCGUCUGAUUAGCUAGUAGGUUGAGGUAAUGGCUCACCAAGGCGACGAUCAGUAGCUGGUCUGAGAGGAUGAUCAGCCACAUUGGGACUGAGACACGGCCCAAACUCCUACGGGAGGCAGCAGUGGGGAAUCUUGCGCAAUGGGCGAAAGCCUGACGCAGCCAUGCCGCGUGAAUGAUGAAGGUCUUAGGAUUGUAAAAUUCUUUCACCGGGGACGAUAAUGACGGUACCCGGAGAAGAAGCCCCGGCUAACUUCGUG